rnacentral:rRNA from 1 species
CCCUUAGAUGUUCUGGGCGGCCCGCGCACUACAUUGGCACUCUCAAUAAGUUCCUAGAUCUAAAACUUUGGGGUAUUCUAUUAAGUGGUGUCGUGACUGGGAUUAACCCUUGCAAUUAUUGGUUACGAACGAGGAAUUCCUUGUAAUCACGGUUUAUCAGCCCGCGUUGAAUGCGUCCCUGCCCUUUGUACACACCGCCCGUCGCUCCUACCGAUGAAUCGUCCGGUGAAGUUCAUGGAGUGGUGGUUGUUCCAGCUGCUGUCGAAGUGAAAUGGACCUCACGAUUUAGAGGAAGGAGAAGUCGUAACA